rnacentral:piRNA from 1 species
UCACGUUAGUUGUAUGAGGAAGUGCU